rnacentral:lncRNA from 1 species
AAAGAACCUGAGUAAUUAAAUAGCAGUCUUGAACACUCCACCACAGACCGGUUGGAUUUGUUCUUGAAUUCUUCAAUCGGACAGGAAAAUAAAAUUGAAGGAAUAAAAAUCUAGGGUCUAACGUAAGGUUAGAUCUAGUGAAAGGUACACAAUAGUUUCCGGUGUAGAAACUACUGUGCGAAAAAUUAAGUAAUUGCUG